ACGCUCGACACCUACGGGAGACAGCAGUCGGGAAUAUUGCGCAAUGGAGGAAACUCUGACGCAGUGACGCCGCGUAUAGGAAGAAGGUUUUCGGAUUGUAAACUAUUGUCGUUAGGGAAGAAAAAAGACAGUACCUAAGGAGGAAGCUCCGGCUAACUACGUGCCAGCAGCCGCGGUAAUCUGAGGCGGGCUGGCAAGGC
rnacentral:rRNA from 1 species